CCCCCCCCUCUCUCUCUCUCUCUCUCUCUCUCUCUCUCUCUCUAUAUAUAUAUAUAUAACACACACACACACACACAAGUGGUCCCAGUUUGAGCGUCCUUGGAGAUACUUCGGAAGCCGGAUGAACCGACCAACAUUGCCGAAAAACUUGAAGUCGAAGGUGUUAUCGUUGCUGAACAGAAAGGAACAAAUGCAGGAAAGAUUCCGAUUAAGCUGUUGGGGCUCGACUGCAGCUGUGGUGAUGAUUUGUGGCGACGUUGCCACCAAAUUUGUGUGUGUGUUUGUGUUUGUUUUGCAUUUACAAGAUGGAUUAUUGAAAGGUGUUGUUGGCUCUAGUGGAGGACCCAUGAUAAUUGCUGGGACUACAGAGGUAUUCUCGAAUCAUUUUGCCAAGAGAAUGGAUCCAUUCUCUUUUGUCAUGGCUCCAAGAUUCUAUCUUCAGGUUACUAUUGAAAACACAUUUGAUAGAGCUUAUAUAUAUGUAUUUUUAUUAUAGUUGUUGAACUUUCUAAUGUGGCACAAAAUUGGGGAAACUUGUGUCAGUGAGCCACCCAAGAAAGGGUGGGGUGGGUUUCCAGCUGCUUUCUGAAUUUCUGGAUUGAUUUAAGGGGAUUAAUUUGCUAUACAUCAACUGUUUUAUGGAUAAAAUUCUCCUUUGUUUUCAUGGACACAAUGCGUAAAAAUCCGGUUUAGGGAGUCGUUUCCUCUCACUUGCCGGAAUUUGUUUCCCCAUUUGGGUAAAUAUGUAGAACAGUAAUUUCAUUUUUAGAAGAAAUUAUUUUAUAUUAAAUGGUUUUUUCCUUUACACAAUAGUCUUUGAAUGGACAAGCAGGUGGUCACUGGAUAAACUAUAAACAUGCAAUAAGAGGAAAAUUUGAUGUAGUAUUUCUUUUGACCAAUGUUGAAGGGUCUCAAUUGAAGGGUACUGAAUUGUUUGUUUUGAUCUAUCAUUUUGGUUUAGUGUAAUUGUGUGUAUAAGAUACACAUACAUAAAUAUAGAUAAAGUAUAUAAUAUAUAUUUAUAUAUGUACUUAGUGAGAGGAGAAGAGCAAGGGUUCAAUUUUAGGACAUUUUGGUCACUUAAAAUGGGUCUCUUGGGGUAGUUAAGUCAUUUUAUACAUGAAACAAAGUCAGCACAAAGUCAAAAGGGUAGUAAUGUACCAAUGUCAUUUACACGUAAAAAGUGUUCUGGCACCACCUAACAGUGACUUUUGGGGUGUGUGAGCUACGAAUCAACUCUUUGUAAUGUGAAUGCAAGUUAAAAACAAAAUGUCUCUCCGUGUCAAAUUGCACCUAACCUCAGGGGUGCAUUGUAAUUUACCCUUAUAAUUAUUAUGUAUCUACAAACAUUCUUUAUUCAUGGAAUUUGAGACACAAAUGCCCCAACCCCAAGGUACAAACUCUCUUUGAGAUGAUGCAGCCACUCACAUGGUUGGUCCAGAACGUUGAGAGCAGGUUAGGGGCCUUUGUAUUGGAGCAACAAUUUCUAAACUUGAUGCAAAUGGUUAUCAGAAGGGGCAAGUGAAAGGAUAUGAGAUUAAAAAGCAAGAAUAAGUUGAUGAAAUAGUUGAAGCUUUAAAAUCUGAGCUAGCUGAAAUGAUGAAUAAAGAUGCAAGCUGAAAUGAUGGGUAAAAUGAAAGCUGAAAUGAUGAAUGGAAUGACUCAAUUAAAAUCCUUGUUGGUAAGUGUUACAACAAGCAUCCCAAUUUAUAAUGAAGUCAAACAUAAUUAUAUACAUAUUCUUAUCUGUCUAUAUGUCAUUUGAAUUUAAAGUACUAGUUCUGUUUAAUUCAUUUAUUUAUUUAUUUUUAGUCCCAAAAUGCUAGCGUGGGUUCUAAGUGCAAUGGUGCGCCAAGUACUUCACCUGAUCUACAAGGGUUUCAAUGUGAGAUGUUACACUGGAAUGGGUCAGUAGUAGUUGUUGCCAUGGUAAAAGUGCAUCAACGGAUCUCAAUGCGUUGGCAGAUCUGUGUUAUUGUUGGUCUGGAUUGCUGGAAAGUAUGGAUGAAUCAUGUCUUCGACAGUGAUUGUCCUUUGGACAAGGCAAGCCUAGCUCGAAGGUUUUAUCUUUGAGAGGCUCACACAACUGCAAGUGUGUGGCCUAGCAAAUUUUUGAAAAUUCUGUAGGAUACAUAAACAUUUGACAACCAACAGUACGUUUUAGGAGGAGAACAGCAGCUUGACUCUUGAAGGUUCAACCACUGAGCUUGGUGUUUAAUCCGUAGCAUCCCCCGCAAGAGAGAAACAUGGAAACUUAUCUCACUCAAACUUGGACAUGCACCGCAAAGGUAUUCCAUCUUUGAAUUGUAUGCUUGUAUGAGUUGGCAUUGGAAAACAGAUUGUCAAGAAAUGGUUUCUUACCAGAGACAGUAGUAAUGAUUUGAUAGAUAGCUAGGAAAUUAAAGAUUCUGAAAGCCCUUUCAUGGGAUGCCAAGUGCUGAAGUAAAAGUUUGAAUAUGGAUCCCGACUCGUGAAAAUAUAAUGGUUGCAUUAUAAUUUAUUUAUUUAUUUAUUUUUUUUUUUUUUUUUUCGUCUAGGAGGUGAGAGUGAGACGAGAGUUGUUCAACGAUGACCAUUGUGGCUUUUCUAAAGUCCAAUUGACAGCAACGGUUCACCGUCCAAUGUAGAGGAUUCUCCCUCGUGGAGAUAUCAUGCUUGGAUUAUAAUUUCUUCAAAGAUUGGAGUGAAAAAUCUCUAAUGAUACGAUACAACGCCUGUGUUGUCGGACAAUGGUUACACCGAGAGAGUUUUCCACCACUGACUGGCCGACAAUAGCUGUUUUACUCGCAGGGCAACCAUCGAAUGGGGCCUAGCCUGCCCAACAACAAAGAAAAAUCUACCCAAAUGGCAAUCAGGGUGCACUACCAGCAAAAGAAAUGUUAUUUUACUCUCUUUUUUUUCAAUGUAUAUUAUAUAAAUUUGCCUAAAAGGUGAAAAAAUAAGGACAAAUAUGACAUUUCAUAGUGUAAUGUUUCUGACAUAAGCACAUUAAACCUUCAGCUCCCGUUAAAAGUAAAAAUAAUAUAAACAUGUUAUAAUUACAAGGAGAGUAUAGCUAUUUGUCACUCUAAAAUAAUUCUCAAAAGUUUUAAAAACGGUUACUAUAAAAAUAUAUUAUUUUUAUAAUAAAAUCAGCAGGUUUUUUAUUUGUUUGAGCUGUUGCAAUUGCAAAAUAGCCAUUUGGCCUAUUAAAUUUUUUUUACACCAAAUUAUUAUCCUUUUAACACUCAUUUUACUGAAUUUUCAUCAUUCAAAUCUUUGGGAGUUUGACUUUUAGUCUUUCUAUCAAAUAAAAGAAAGAAAAAAAAAAACCUACAUAUUUCCAGAUAUUUAUUUCAAUUAGGCAACCCAUCUCAACCAUAACAUUUCUCAUAUCCCUUUAUCCGUGAAGGAGAUAGUGUAUAAUUUUAUAUAGUCGUUUAAAAAAAAAAAACUAUCAAAUCAUUCAAAAAAAUAAGUUUAAAAAAAUUUAUAAAAAAAAAUAAUAAAUAUUUAUUUAAAAAAAAUUAAGUGGCCGCAUUAAAUUCAUUAAUUAGAAUUAAUACUCAAUCCAUAUUUAUUUAUUUAUUUGAUUUUAGCGUAGGACAAGUCAUUCUUAUACUAGUAAUAUUUUCCAUCAGGCUUUUCGCAGAGGCUUAUGAUUUUUUGUGAGACACGGAAUCAGUGAAUCACCAUCCAAAAACCUUUAACUAAUACGUGAGACUGAUAAUUACUCCUCCACUCACAUUAUAUUCAUUCAUUUCUCCCUCGCACACCACACUGGAUGGGCCCCAUAUACCGCGAAAGUUUGGUGCUCUCACCUACCAAGGGUACUAUAUAACCAUCAACUCCCGUAACCCUAGUGCUCAUCGCAUUAAGCUUCAAUAAUACAUCCAACUCAUUCGAGAGCUAUAUACUACUUUCAGCCUCGAGAAAAACGACGAAGGUAUAGAGCUGAUCCAUCGACAGCCGGAAUCCUCGCCUGGCAUGAGGUGAAGAUUAUUCAAGAGAUUAUAAAAGAAUUUGGGGCAUAUAUUGUUAAAUGUUGACAAGCACCAAUUGGGGAUGGAUUCCCGUGAACAAAGUGAUCACUUUGCUAGACCAUUGAUUAAAUGAUGUACGCGUUGUGUGGAAUUGGGGAAUUGGCUGAAUAGGACAGACAACCAUUGCCAAAGCUAUUCAACCGAAUAUUUAAUCAAUUUGAAAGUAUUUGUGUCCUUGAAAUUGUGAAAAACAAUAUUGCUGAAGUUCUUGUAGAUACGUUAAACCAUUUUGUUUUGAAACUUCUAUCAAAUUUAAAUUGAUUGAAUAUUUGUUCAAAAUAGGUUUGGCAAUGGUUGUCUUUCCUAUUCCACCAAUUCCACAAAUCCUCACAAUGUGGAAUCCUUUAAUUCCUUGUCUAGCGGCGUGGUCACUUUAAAUUACUUGUUUAUAGGAAAAGAGACAAAAAUAUCAAGACUUGCGAGGUAAACAAAAGUUGCUACACAAGUUCCAAAAGGCUGUGCUCGUUUAGGGGACAAAAUGGUAAGCGACACUUAUUCCAAAAUUGUACCAUUUUAUAAGGCAUUAUGUUCCCAUAUAAGGGGAUGGUCUUGCAGUGAGUCUUGCACAUACAUUGACUCUUGGUAAAAUGUAAUUAAAAUGAUGGUCAUGUUGUAGUAAACUUGUCUUUUUUGCAUUAUCAAUUUUUUUAUUAUUAUUUUUUAUUUUUUUUCUCUUCUGGAAUGUAAACUUGUUGUAUAGAUAUAAGAAAUGUACAAGUGGGCCAAGCCCAAACGAAAACAGGCAGGAACCCCAACAAACAUUGCCCAAGCAUUGGAGGGAAAAAUAAGAGGUACUCUAUGGAAGCUUUAACAAUUUAUGGACUAGUUGUAGCAUUAGCACUUUUAUUUGCAAAUCCUUUUGUUUAAUUCUAGAAAUAUGAAAAAUAUGUAUUUUUCAUAUUUUAUUGAGCCUAAACAAGAAUGAUACCCUACAUCAACAAGAGAGAACAUACAACAUUGAUCAAUGACAUUUCUAGUCUAAAUAUCUAGACUAUUGAUGUCUAUGCAAAAAGACGAUCCGGUGAGCAAUAGAGGCGCGGCGAGUUGGUACUUGGCCCCCGAUCUCUCAAUCUGGCUCUAGUGGUGGACGCACGAAGCUAGAAGGAAGGUCCCAAUCCAAUUGUAAGCGCAUGGCAUCAACAAAGUCCUUCACAUGCCUCUCCAUAUUCGGUUAAUCGUGGUGGAGAGCACGAGUUUGUUGACGGAGAUGAGAAGCUACCUUCCUCGCCAACGAUUAGAGGCUCGAGCAAUUAAAUCACGCCAUGAGGGUGCGGAAAAUUAAAUCGGCUCUUCUGUUGGAGUACAGCCCAAAUCGGUCGAAUGAAUGAACAUUCAAAGAAGAGGUGGUCGUGCGAUUCAUCCACCGAUUGACAAAAAAGACAAAGCUUUGGGCCUGGUGCCGAUUGCAUACAACUGCGAUCAAGUGUAGAGAGGCGCUUCUGCACAACUAACCAGAGCCUGAACUUGGAUCAUUUUGGUACCGACAAUGAAUUCCAUACAAGAUGCUGCCAUGGAACUGGUUGGUGGUGAGGGGCAAGCCAUUGAAUUGUGUGGCUGACUGUGAAAAACCCCAGUUGGAGAGUGGAUUCAACUAUAAGAAUCCGGUUUGCUGCCAGGGGCAUCAAUAUGGUUAAGUUUCGGAACUAGUUAUGUUAUCGCAUUUGGGAAGGUUCACUCAUUGUUCUGCACAAAUGAAGAAAGCUUCUGGCGUAGAGGGAUGCCUUAGUUAAGGAUCGCAUCUGGGGAGAAACGUAGGGUAAGAGGCCCUCCUUGUAACCAAUUCUCCUCCCAAAAAAAAGUAUGAUCUCCUCUUCCCUUCACCUGCUCAUUGUCCUAACCACGUCCCUUGGUUGUAAAAUCCUCUUCCAAUUUGAAGAGCAUACUAUAAACAUCUAUUACGUAUUAAUUGGAUUCUAACCCAUUGUGCCCAAAUGUUAUCUCUCCUGUUAGAAAUAAUAUUCCAUAGGUGCUUCAAAUUGGCAGCCGUAUUUGCAGUGCUUAGACUUCUGAAUCCCAGCCCCCCACAUUCCUUAGGUUGGCACACAGCAGACCAUGUAACCUUGGCUCCUGUACACUUGUUAUCAGUUCCAAUCCAUAGGAAAUUUCUUAAAAUCUUGUUGACCUCGAUUACUGACAUAAGCAAGAUGAAUAAGCUUGACUAGUAGUUAAGCAUGCUAUAUAGAGCCGACGGAAUGAGUUGGAUUCAUCCAAUAUAGGAGGUUAGAGGACCAGUGAGGAACCCUGCGAAUAAUCUUUUCAAUUAGUCCUCUACAAUCUGUGAUUUUAAGUCUAGUUGAAAGCAAUGGCACUCCUACAUACUUGAUAGGUAAUUCUCCAGAGUCAAAUCCCAGUAGAGUUUUGAUAUCAUUAACCAUGGUGCUUUCUACCCUUGAUUUAAAGAAAACACCUUUUGAGUUGUUUACAUUUAGACCAGAUAGGGUAGAGAAUUGUUUAGGUGCCUGCUUGAGUGUGGAGACGGAUAGUAGAUCCCCAUGGCAGAAUAAUAAGAGAUCAUCAAUUAAGUGAGAGAUGACUAGGUUCUUGCACUUGGAGUGAUACUUGAAGUAGGGCCUCUCGGCAAUAACCUUGGUAAUAAUGGAGUAAAAAACUUACAUUGCUAACACUAAUAGCAAAGGAGAGAUGGGAUCUCCCCUGUCUUAAACCUUUGACCAUCUGAAAAUGGUCAUUGAACUCCCCCAUUAAUGGACACGGUAAAUGAUAGGGUUGUGAUACAUGCUUUGAUCCAGCAAACAAAAGUAGGUGGGAAACUAAAUAGAGAAAGAGUAUCAAGCAUAAAGUCUCAACCCAUUAAUUUCUACACGGUUUGAUGAUUUGGAAAGCUCAUUCAGAUAUCUAUGUAUUCCAUGUUUUGAGAACAGGACAUUGUCACCUCAUUGGGCCAAGCCCCAAAGCAAGGCCCAAAUAUGUUAAAAAUUGCAAAUCUGUGCAGCAUUCGUAUUUUGGACAUAACUUAUCGCUCAGAAAUCUGAUCCAGGUGAUUCUUACGGCCACGAAAAAAGGAUCAAUGAAUAAGAGUACAACAUUCUUCAAGAUACAAGAACUCAUUGAAGCUUGUGGUUCUCAAAGAAAGAAGAUAGAUUCAUUUGCAAAUGAUAAUACUAACCUUUGAAGCAUUAAUUAUUUGGACAAUUGGUUACUUGGUUCUUCAUUGCAACUUCAUCCCCUAGCCUUAACUAAAGUUAUACUCUUUCAUUAAGAAUACAACAUUUAAUAUGUAAAACAUUUCUAUUAGAAAUCUGAAAAUGUUUACAAGAAAGCUCUUUAAGAGCUAAUGAAUCAAGACUAAGAAUAUAAUUUAAAAUUAAGUGUCAAAACUUGGCCCUUUCUUCCUCCUUAUAUAGGAGAAAAAUACAAUAAAAUAAGCUCACAAGUUGUCAAAAAACAUGAUCUAACAUUGUGCAGUUUUGUGCUGAGAGUUAUGACCAAAAUGCCAAGGUAGCCUUCAGUUGGCAGACAAGCUUGAUUUUGCCUCUUAGGAUGAGAAAUUCAAGAUGAACUUGUCCUUCCAUUUUUUUUGAUAUCCAUGAUAUUAUGACUUGCUAGGAUACCUUCAAAAUAAGAUUUAUCAUCCUCCUAGAAGUAUCAUGCAUGUAUGAGCAUUGGACACUUGUCUCAAGAUCACAUUAGUAGAAAUCUGCCCAGAAAAUGUGCAUAGAAAAAUGCUAUUUUGUUAGCCGAAUUUGACCCCCAAGAUGUUGAAUUUAGAAAAUCAUCAUAACUGGGAAUACUUAGAGCUUCUUGUCUUCUUUCUAUGGCCGCAAGAAUUACCUGAAUCGGAUUUCUAAGCGACAAGUUAUGUCCAAAAUACGACCGCUUUGCAGAUUUGCAAUUUUGGACGGAUUUGGGCUUUUCUUUUUAGGCUUAGGGGAUGAAGUUGCAAUGAAGAACCAAGUAACCACUUGUUCAAAUAAUUAAUGCUUCUAAGGUUAGUAUUAUCAUUUGCAUAUGAAUCCAUCUUCUUUCUUUGAGAACCACAAGCUUCAAUGAGUUCUUGUAUCUUGAAGAAUGUUGUACUCUUAUUCAUUGAUCCUUUUUUCGUGGCCGCAAGAAUCACCUGGAUCAGAUUUCUUAGCGAUAAGUUAUGUCCAAAAUACGAAUGCUGCGCAGAUUUGCAAUUUUGAACAUAUUUGGGCUUUGCUUUUGGGGUUGGCCCAACGAGGUGACAAUGUCCUGUUCUCAAAACAUGGAAUACAUAGAUAUCUGAAUGAGCUUUCCAAAUCAUCAAGCCGUGUAGAAAUUAAUGGGUUGAGACUUUAUGCUUGAUACUCUUUUUCUAUUUAGUUUCCCACCUACUUUUGUUUGCUGGAUCAAAGCAUGUAUCCCAACCCUAUAUUAUGAACAACUUAAAGGACUAAAUUAUGAACAUAAGAGAGCU